CGUUGCAGGUUUGGAGAGUGCGGUGUGGUUGCCGGUCAAGUGUUUUAGACGGGACUGUGGCGAUACAAUCCUGUCGCAGAUUUUGGAAAUAGUCUCUAGAGGGAAGGUUUAGGGUUCUAAAUAACAUAAAGCAAACUGCAGGCAAAAGGAAUCCAGGGUAGCGUCGAAGUAGCUCUAUCCCCGCGGCAUCCUGGUGAUAGAGGAAUAGCGGAUUGUGUCCGGUCUGCCGUCGAAGAAUUACUACCAGUUUCAGUAAGACUGAUAAAAACUUCAUUUUGUAAAAUGGACUUUUUAUCGAAUCAGCCCUGGGCGAAAUGUCUCGGCGUCGAAACGGCCGGACGACGAAUUGUCUCACGUCGUAACGUCCUGCGGAGUGAAUGUCCCACGACGAAGCGUCGCAAGGCGAGAUGACCUUGCGGUGAAAUGUCUGCGACUAAAAGUCUGCGACGAGUUGUCGGCGGCGAAAUGUCGCGGUGCGAUAAGGAUAAGAAGUAUGGCUACCGGCUUCCCGGUUCAUAAUAUCACAAACCACUGGCUCUCUUCUAUCAGGUCAUUCCUAUUCCUGUGAUUUUCCGGGUUUUUGACAAGUAUGAACGUAACGCUGAAUGACAUAAAAAUGGUCAUUUUGCCGAGUUAAGAAAGAAAUAUCGCUUUUGUAUUUUAAUUUAUACGCGUGUUAUCGAUAAGAAUGCCAUAAAUAGUAUUUGCUGUUGUUAAUGAAUAAGUGACACAAAUACGUUUCUUGAUAAUCGCGAAGCGCUAAAAUUAAAUUCUCUUUGAUAAUGUCACAGAUGGCACAUGGCAGCCCAACGAACAGUGUCUUUAUUGGCAAACACAAAUACUUGUGUUUACCGCUCUGUAAAGCGGUGCAACAUAAAUAUAUUUUUUCCUGGGAUGCCAGCCAAA